rnacentral:rRNA from 1 species
GACGAACGCUGGCGGCGUGCCUAAUACAUGCAAGUAGAACGCUGAAGCGAGGAGCUUGCUCUUCUUGGAUGAGUUGCGAACGGGUGAGUAACGCGUAGGUAACCUGCCUGGUAGCGGGGGAUAACUAUUGGAAACGAUAGCUAAUACCGCAUAAAAUGGAUUAUCGCAUGAUAAUCCAUUGAAAGGUGCAAAUGCAUCACUACCAGAUGGACCUGCGUUGUAUUAGCUAGUUGGUGGGGUAACGGCUCACCAAGGCGACGAUACAUAGCCGACCUGAGAGGGUGAUCGGCCACACUGGGACUGAGACACGGCCCAGACUCCUACGGGAGGCAGCAGUAGGGAAUCUUCGGCAAUGGACGGAAGUCUGACCGAGCAACGCCGCGUGAGUGAAGAAGGUUUUCGGAUCGUAAAGCUCUGUUGUAAGAGAAGAACGAGAGUGAGAGUGGAAAGUUCACACUGUGACGGUAUCUUACCAGAAAGGGACGGCUAACUACGUG